GAUGGGAGGUUCAUUUGAGUUGGGUCCUAGCACGAGUAUGGGCCAGGCGUUCGGGCUUGGCAUGGCUCUAAGUUGUGGACUUGGGGCUUGAGAUGAAGUUGGGCACUUGCAUACAGUUGAACAGUCUAAGCAUGGGGCAGAGCAACAGAGACCGAGUUUGGGUUCAUGAGUUCUAGUGGCACACUUGGCUUAUGGGAGUCAGGCAGCAUGGCGCAAGGGUGAGAGAGGCAGGUUUGGGUGUGACUUGAACAAGGGCACGACCGACUCAAGGGAGAGUCAACAUCUACCACGAGUCCUCCAUGACACAGAGGCGACAUGGGUGAAGAGUUCCUAUUGGGUCAGAGAUAGUGGGCUUUCCUGGAUAAUGGAUCGUGAUGGGCUUGGGUCAGAGUUAAAGCCCAUGGNGGGUGAGAGAGGCAGGUUUGGGUGUGACUUGAACAAGGGCACGGCCGGCUCAAGGGAGAGUCAACAUCCACCACGAGUCCUCCAUGACACAGAGGCGACAUGGGUGAAGAG
rnacentral:lncRNA from 1 species